GGUCACCCAGUUUGUCUUCGAUGGCGGCGAGGUCGCGCUCCAUUCCAGUCAGCUUCCUCUGCAGAGCCAUGACGCCGGCCAGGUCGUUCCCCAGCUCCUGGGUCGACUCAAUCACCUGGACAGACGGCGGAUCGGGUGGUAGUUCUGGAUGCCCAGAGCCGAGUUCAGGCUAUCCUUCUUCUGGUCCACCAGGUCUCUGAACUGACUCCACCUGGACACACACCAGAACAUGUAUCACCACCAACCACUGGAACUCAACUAUUUACAUUUUUACUUUACAUUUCAGUGGUCACCAUCAAACUAAAGCAUUUUGUUUCUGUUUACUUCUUGUUUAGCUCCUUUCUUUAUCAGUCCGUUUACCACUUAUUCCUGGGGUAGUUUUUUGGUUGUUGCUUAGUAUUCUUCAAAAUUUAGAGAACUUUGAGUAUUUCACCGUCUAUGCAACAUAAAUUGAUCUUAGAUUUUAAGAAUCUGGAGAAAUCAGUGUACAAGGGAGAAGUCUGAAAAUCAUUUUUCGAUGCCUGACGUGUGGAUCCUCAAGCUGCACUGCAUUAAAGCCAGACAUGAUUCUGUGAUGGAAGUCACUGCAUGGGCUCAGGAAAACUUCCAGAUAUUGUCGUCUAUUAACACAGUUCACCUGCUCCACAAACGGAGGUUAAAGCUCUACCACGCAAAGAACAACAAGAAGAACAUGACCCAGAAAUGCCACCAUCCUCUCUGGGUAGAACUUCAACAUUUAAUCUUAAUGUUUUCUCUUUUAUCAGUCAGGAUUUAUUUCUCAUUCUAAUCUAAAUAUAUUUCAUUUAUUUAAUCUCACUUAAAAAACACACAUAUAAAAAUCAAUUAUCAAAAAAAUCUCAUUUCCAUCCUUUAAACCUGAUAGUGUAAAUGACUUGAUAACAGCCUGUUUUAACCCAGAGAGAUUACCUGGUGUUCAGUUUGUCCUGUUGGGCUUUGAUUUCCUUCUCACUGGGAUGUCCGCUGUGGAUCAGUUGCCUGGCAACCUGGUUCACCACAGCAACCCGGGAUGCCUGGUUGUUCAUCUCUGGCUCCAAACUCUCAAAUCUGCACAGAGACCAAGAAGGAGAGGAUGUUAAAACUUACAUCGAGAAAGAAAACAGAUGAUGUAACUUGCAUUUACUGUUUUAUUUACAGCUACUGAAAGUCCUGGAUUCUGAUUGGUUCAAAGGGAUGGAUUCAACACCUAUGCUGCUCUCACUAUGGCCUCUGUUACUAAUUCAAAUUAUUUCUUCUCCUUCCUCUUCUUCUUCUUAUUAAUUUGCAACUUUUCUUGCUCUAGAAAAAUGUAAAUGCAACAUGUUUGGUACUUGUAUCAAAUUUGCAAAGAAAACUCUUUGAAGCUUCUUCAACAUACCAACAAACACGUGAACUACAUGAGAAAAAUAUUCACAGCAGUGAAGUUAGCAAAAAUAACUGGCCAUGACUGUAGUUUUAUCCAGAAAAAAAAAAGAUUAAAUACAUACAGAAUUUUUCAUGUUUUCAAAUUACUCAUAUGGAUUUUGCUGACAAGAGACCCGGAGCUACAGAUCCACCUUAUGUGACGUUCAGACUGGAUUUCUACAAAGAUGAAUCUCUGUGGUGAAGCUCAAACGUCACAAUGGACUGGUUUCUAUAUCUGACCCUGCACUUAUGUUUCUAACAAGUAAAAACCAGGAGUGUCCUGGUUCCUAAUGUUUCAGAGUUAACUGGUCUUCACAAAGACAGAAGAGCACAAACACACAGCAGCACAUCUGGAAUCAGAUCCAUGUGAUGCUUUGUGGUAAGAGAAUAUGGAAGGAAACGUAGCAGAAAACCAACCAUGUAACCACAGCCCAAAAUACACACACUGGCUCUGGUUCCCACAGAGACAAAAACACACCAGUGGCUGUCCUUCAGGGUCUUGGGGGGUGGGGUGGGGAUUUACCACCAUGUUCAUGUUCAGAUUAUAAGUAGGUCCUUGAAAAGAACAUGUCCCUGUACGAGGCUCCAGUCCCUGGUCUGGGUCUUAAACAAAGACCAUGUGGGUGUGGUUGUUCAUCAGCUGCAGACCCCAGACCCGUCCUCACCUGUGCUGGAUCACCUCCAGGUCCUCCAGUUUCUCGGGGAUCGCCAUACUGUUGAGCCACUGCUCCUUCUCGUCGAUCCACACCUCGCAGGCGUUGGCUUCACUCAGCAUCUUAUAGAGCGCCAGUGCGUCCUGCAGGGCCUGUUUCCGGAGCCGAGUCAGCUCCACCACCUCCUUGUAACGCUCCUCAAUGCCGGCCAGGCGGCUCUGAACCUGCAGCACCACAACAACAUACACAACAGGACACAAACGUGGUCAACUGGAACCGACUGCAAAUGUCACUUAUUUAAAUGCAUCACUGUGUUAAUUAAUCUGGAACCAUUUACAAUGUCAUGUAUGUACAUGUAUAUAGUGAGCUGAAUGAUUUAUCAGCAGCUCCUGGUUGAUGCACAAUUAUUACAACUAUUAUAACUAUUACUGAGAAACUGUGAGACUGAAGAAUACAAAGCAGGAUUCUCAGGCAGGUUCUGUAGAUGCAAAAGUUCUUUUUCUGUAUUUUAAGCAUACUUAUGUACAAUUAUCCAAAGCUGCCCAGACAUACAGAUAUAUAAUAUAUAUAUAUAUACAGAUAUAUAAUAUAUAUAUAUGGUUUUCCCCUGUAAGUCGCUUUGGAAAAAAAGCGUCUGCCAAAUGCGUAAACAUAAACAUAAACAUAUAAAGAUUUCUGAAAAUUUAAGUCACACAGAGUCUGAAAACAUGUUGGUGGAUUAUGUGAUUGGGUUUAAUCUAAUUAAAACAGGAAACUACAAGAGGAGGCAAGAAGCUCCCUCUGAUCUGUGAUCGUUUUACAUCAUUAGGAGAGAGGCGAGUUAUGUGGCAUCAGCUCCUGUUGGUUUUUGACCUGUGAAUGUACAGACGACACAUUUACAGACACUGAGGCAGAUUUAACUUGGUUAGACUUGUUGGCAGCUUCUGCAACUCAAACAACUUCAUGGAAAAAAAACAUAGUUUCCAUGAAGCUGCUUCUAGGUUUAACAGAAAGUGUUUUUGAUGAAUUUCACUUUUGGAAUUGUACACUUUUGGACAUAUCUCAGGGAUGGUGAUAUGUUCAAAAGCGUAUCAGAAGGGCAUCAUAUUCUCUGUAUGUACAGAAAACUGAAUUUAAGGUGUUCUUAAGUGUUUAAUGAACCCUAUCAAGAUGUUUUUACAUUUUUCUUGUACGUUUGUUGGUUUUUGCAGUGACAAAUGUUUACCUAAUAUUGUCUGAAAAUGCUUUUUUAAUGUCACCUGGCCUGUUCCUACAUUAAAUAUGUGAUGUGUUUACCAUUAAUCAUGGUGCAGAGGUAACCCAUUUGACAUGCCAUAAUAAAGGCCUUAAAGCUG